AUUGAACGCUGGCGGCAUGCUUUACACAUGCAAGUCGAACGGCAGCGCGGGCUUCGGCCUGGCGGCGAGUGGCGAACGGGCGAGUAAUGCAUCGGAACGUGCCCAGCUGUGUGGGAUAGCCCGGCGAAAGCCGGAUUAAUACCGCAUACGACCAGAGGGUGAAAGCGGGGGACCGAAAGGCCUUGCGCCAUUGGACGGGCCGAUGUCGGAUUAGCUAGUUGGUGGGGUAAAGGCCUACCAAGGCGACGAUCCGUAGCUGGUCUGAGAGGACGACCAGCCACACUGGGACUGAGACACGGCCCAGACUCCUACGGGAGGCAGCAGUGGGGAAUAUUGGACAAUGGGCGCAACCCUGAUCCAGCCAUGCCGCGUGCGGGAAGAAGGCCUUCGGGUUGUAAACCGCUUUUGUUCGGGAAGAAAACCUCUGGGCUAAUACCCCGGGGGGAUGACGGUACCGGAAGAAUAAGCACCGGCUAACUACGUG
rnacentral:rRNA from 1 species